rnacentral:piRNA from 1 species
UAGAUUCUGAAAAUCUAGUUCCUCAAGACA